CCUACGGGAGGCAGCAGUGGGGAAUUUUCCGCAAUGGGCGAAAGCCUGACGGAGCAACGCCGCGUGAGGGAUGAAGGCCUCUGGGCUGUAAACCUCUUUUAUCAAGGAAGAAGAUCUGACGGUACUUGAUGAAUAAGCCACGGCUAAUUCCGUGCCAGCAGCCGCGGUAAUACGGGAGUGGCAAGCGUUAUCCGGAAUUAUUGGGCGUAAAGCGUCCGCAGGCGGUCUUGUAAGUCUGUCGUUAAAGCGUGGAGCUUAACUCCAUUUCGGCGGUGGAAACUACAAGACUAGAGUGUGGUAGGGGCAGAGGGAAUUCCCGGUGUAGCGGUGAAAUGCGUAGAUAUCGGGAAGAACACCAGCGGCGAAGGCGCUCUGCUGGGCCAUAACUGACGCUCAUGGACGAAAGCUAGGGGAGCGAAAGGGAUUAGAUACCCCUGUAGUCCUAGCCGUAAACGAUGAACACUAGGUNUCGGGGGAAUCGACCCCCUCGGUGUCGUAGCUAACGCGUUAAGUGUUCCGCCUGGGGAGUACGCACGCAAGUGUGAAACUCAAAUGAAUUGACGG
rnacentral:rRNA from 1 species